GCCUGGGUGGCUCAGCUGAUUGAGCGUCUGACUUUGGCUCAGGUCAUGAUCUCACAUUUGGUGGGUUCGAGCCCUGCCUCGGGUU
rnacentral:tRNA from 1 species